rnacentral:rRNA from 1 species
AGCAGCCGCGGUAAUUCCAGCUCCAAUAGCGUAUAUUAAAGUUGUUGCAGUUAAAAAGCUCGUAGUUGAAUUUCGGGACUAAUAUGUCGGUCGUGCCUCGGUACGUACUGGCUUAUUGGUUUCUCCUUUCUGAAGAACCAUGAUGUCAUUUAUUUGGUGUCGUGGGGAAUCAGGACUGUUACUUUGAAAAAUUAGAGUGUUUAAAGCAGGCUCACGCUUGAAUACAUUAGCAUGGAAUAAUGAAAUAGGACGUUUGAUUCUAUUUUGUUGGUUUCUAGGAUCGACGUAAUGAUUAAUAGGGAUAGUUGGGGGCAUUAGUAUUCAAUUGUCAGAGGUGAAAUUCUUGGAUUUAUUGAAGACUAACUACUGCGAAAGCAUUUGCCAAGGAUGUUUUCAUUAAUCAAGAACGAAAGUUAGGGGAUCGAAGACGAUCAGAUACCGUCGUAGUCUUAACCAUAAACUAUGCCGACUAGG